UUGUAACAGCCAUCUCCUAGGCAACAUGUGCAAUAAAAUGAAAGCAAGAGUACAUUUUUGACUUCUGACCUUGUGACAAUGAACCAGAGAUGACGUGUCUGGCCGGCCAUGCAGAAGUGUCUUAGAAGUGGCACAAAACACAGCUGUCUCCACACAAAGGAGACAGCGGCUACAAAAGCAACAACUUCUGAUACCAGUUGCCUUAACUACUUUUCAGCCCUCUGGAAAUGGUCACUAGCUAGCAUACCUGUGCAUGACUUUGAGUUAUGGUGAAGCAUGAGGACACCUACUACAGAUAUGCCAACUAUCAGCGCUCACCAUUUGAAGAAAGUAUGGACCAAGGCCCAGACUAGAGGUGAUAAAGAGGAGCCAAAACCACAGCCCAGAAACGUGCAAGCUCUAAAAAGGUGGAGCCAAGGAGGAGCCAUGUAAAAUAGUUCCUAGAAAAUGUAAGCUAGUUUAUGGAUGUGCAUACAGAUCUAUGAACAUGCAACAAGCUGAUGUAAGUGAAAAGGUAUUUAAGGGGUAUCCCCGAAGGUGAUGGUGUGGUUUCAGAUGAGUGCCAAUAUGCAUCUGGCCAUAAUAACCUUUGCUUUA